rnacentral:rRNA from 1 species
UACAGAGGCCUCGAGCGUUAGGCGGAAUCACUGGGCUUAAAGCGUGUGUAGGCGGGCGGGCAAGUACCUUGUGAAAUCCCACGGCUCAACCGUGGAACGGCUGGGUAUACUGCCUGUCUUGAGCCAACUAGGGGCGAGCGGAACAGACGGUGGAGCGGUGAAAUGCGUAGAUAUCGUCUGGAACGCCGAAGGUGAAAACAGCUCGCUGGGGUUGUGCUGACGCUGAGACACGAAAGCCAGGGGAGCGAACGGG